UGCCAUUAUUUGAGUGAAAAGUCCCGGUCUCCUCAGAUACUGUGUGUUGCUGUGUAUCCACUCAACAAACAAUUAUCAGUAAAGUGUGAAAGAUGUCAAGAAGCUGAAUAGAGAGGUUGAUGGUUAGAGGACUUGACCAUUAAAGGACUCCAGAGAAUCCUGCUCAAGUUCCUCAAAGUGAGACUU